rnacentral:rRNA from 1 species
CCUCCUAAACGUGUUAGUCGAGCCCGCCAGGCGUGGGUUAGUGGCCACAGAGCGCCGAGAGCGGGGUGGGGUCGGUGGUUUGCUCCUUGGGAUCGGAGGACAGAGGAAGGGGAGCUAGGGGUGCUCGGCGACGUGGGGAGGGAGAGGGAAGGCACGCACACGAGCCGGUUGCUGCGGCGGCAGCGGGAGCCGAGGAGGAGGUGGUGGAGCGGAAAAAGAGGAGGAACGGAAGGGUAGCGAGCGCGCGUACAGCGGUGGCAGCCUCUUGUCCUGUCACACUCAGCGAAGGAGGAAAAGGAGGGCGGCCUAGAUUCCGCACGCCGGCACCUCCGCUCGGAGAGGCCACCGCCGCCGUUUCCCACUGGUGUACCUAGCCAGGGACGUCCUCUCUCUUCUACCCUCUCUCCCUCUCUUCCUUCCUCUCCUCCCUCCGGGCCGCCGCCUGCCCUCUCCCAGUGGCUGGCCGCGACCGCUCCAGUCCACGCUGGACCACCAACCACCGCCGAGCUAGGUGAGGACCUAGGAAGAAGAAGGUGAAGGGGUGACGGAUUGUGGAUCCUUCUCCCGACCGGCUCCUUCUCCCGCUCCUGCGCCCCUAACUUCUCCCACAAGGACGCAAGUAGCGGACCGGUUCCUGCUCCUGCUGCUCCACCCCACCUCGAACAGUAGGGAGACCAAUAGUGGAAGGAAAGACGAUGACCCGACUCUACUCCCAAAAGAGGUAGCUAACACCACCGGACUCAGUCUCUAGCUGUCGGUCUACGAACACCGAUGGUGUGUUUUGCACGAGAGAACGACUGGAGCUCCAGGUCUGCGUUACCUAACAGAGGUUCCACAAAGAGGCUGGUCGUUGUUGUUUUGAGGUGUGAAAGAGUUAACGCGACACUAACCAAGUACAGGUGGUUCCGGCAACGUAACCAGCACCAUGAGCCGAAGGAAACCCAAACGAACGACAGCUCCUUCUUCUUUCCACACUUGAUACACUUUUACCUGUUUGGGUGACGGGGUCUACCAUUACUUUUUUGACUGUGGUUGAUCGAGUGAGAUAUUUAAAACAUAUCCGAUUUCGAUUGAUGCAUAGACGUGGUGCUAACGAGCGACCCCUAUAUCUACAUAAGGAUUGUAGUCCAAUAAUGGUGUGGUAUCGUCGACGAGCGACCCUUAUAUCUAUAUAUAAAGUAAAACGUCCAAACUUUGUUCGACCAAGGAAAUAUACUUUAACAAAUAAGUACUAAACAAUUACAUCUUUAGUAAAGUAAUUAUCAAAACAUACCAGGCACACUAAGUACGACGUUACUAAAAGAAGUGAGCCAAUUAGCACAUCAUUAAUCUGCCACAUCAUGAUACCGCCACCAUAUGACUAUAGCACAUCAUUAGCUACGAGACAAGUACCGAAAAAAGAAUAAAAUAGGAAGAAACGAAAAAAAGGAAAGGACGUUCUUCUACAGCUCAGUACAUUAUACAAGUUUCUUCUCUCUUAGACGUAAAAUACUUAGGAAAGAAGAAAGAAGUAACAAUGAAGUUCAAUCACUUAAGUAAAUUCAACAUAACUCGUCGAAGUACACGUACCACAGAAGUAGAUGUGUAGAAUAAGUCAGUGCUCCGGUCAUUCUAGAAAACGGAAAAUCUUUUUCCCUCUACGGUAAAUCUGGAAUGAGAAGGUUGAACUAGAAAUUGUACGAUCGUAAAAGGGUUCGUAAAAAAUAAACGAAGUCUCUUACUCGAGUGGAAUAAGUCACCUACACGGUUCAUUUUUUUAAUCUUUGACUUGUUAAUCAAGGUGAGAAUUUAAAACAUGUUGCCAGGUUUAAUAGGUUAUUUAGUAAACAAUCGUCCCAGAUUAAUAUCUUCAACUUGGUCAACAAGGUUUAAUGUUACACACUGAAUAAGGUAAACAAAUAGGAAAACAGGAAAAUUAGUUCUUGUUACAAAUCUCGAAUGUACCAACAGGUUUAAAUCAAGACAUUUUCUCCUGAUAACUAUAGUACGUUACUAGUCACGUCUAAUCCUAUCAAUAUCUCAAGAAGGAGUCAAAAGUAACUCGUUUCUAACUUAGACAUACUAAAAAAGAUUAUGGUUCAUUUAGAACCAGACGUAAGACAAUCAAAAGGAUGACUCAAAAAAAACCGAUAAAAGUAAAUUUAACCAUCGACUACACUUUUUCAUACACAACUGUACGUACAUUGGUUUAGUACUUAAUUACACUCUAUGAUGUAUAUGAACGGAUAGAGAAAGGUCUUCGUGUUGGGAGAACUAGGUUGAUCCUUGUAGUUUUGGUUUACCCUUUAGUAACUCACCUGAAGUCUACAGGUACGACACUCAUGUGGUAAUCAUAGACUUAGAUGAAACAUAUUAAUUCUGUGUGAAAGAUGUAUAGCGACGAUAUAACUAUGGUACACUAGUGAAUUGUACUCACACUGAUCCGAUAAAAGAACGGAUUGACACACUAACGUACAUCAUUACGUACCGAAGAGAUAAAUUUACUUCUCAACACAAAUAGUAUUAUUAAUAUAUGGUGUCUGAACAAAGAAAGACAAAUACAUUAUUACGUCAAGCAGAAGAUGGUAUACAAAAGAAACAAUGUACAGAAGAUUAACAAGUAGAAAAAAAGAGAAAGGUGCUGUUUUAUUGAAACGUAAACCGCAUUGUUUUAUUGAAAAAAGAGAAACAAUGUACAGAAGAUUAUAAAUCAUGCUGUUCCUCCGUCCCACCCCCCCCCCCAGCCGGUACCUCCCUCCGAGCGGCCGGCCUCGUCGUCCUUGUUCCUCCGCCCCAGCCGACACCUUCCCUCCGAUCGGCCGGCCUCGUCGUCCUCGUUCCUCCGCCCCAGCUGGCACCGUUGACCUUGUCGACGACCAAUCGGACUGUGUGACGGAGUCGGUACAGAGGAGAUUACGUCGGGUCUGCGAGUUCUCUCCAUCAACACGGCAGUGACCACCGCUCAAGUCGCCGGCGGGGGAGGAGAAGAGAAGCUUGGGUCGGGAGAGAACUCACACAGCACGGGAGAUGAUGCCAUUUCGUGGUCCAGGUGCACUCGAGGAGGAAGUUGGGCGCAUACACUAAAGAAGGAAAAGGUACUUACGUGUGUAGAUUUCGCAAAAAAACCCAAGGGAGUAGAUUUAAAGAAGACUUCACACGUCUAACAAUAAGUAAUAGACCCUCCUGUGAUAAGAAAAGUUCCUGAGUAAUCAGUGUCUUAUAAAUCGACCGUUCUAUGUUUAAAAUACUAAGUAGGUAGAGAGGUUAAGACUGGAAUGUAUAGUUGGACAGAGGUACAUGGGAAGAUAUAGACCACGACGAUGAAAAAAAAGGAAUGUACCUAUAUACAUACUCUAAAGAAACAAAUCCAUAUAAACACGGACUUUCUUCAAAUGUAGAUAAAAGAACAAUCUACUAGGACUUACUCUUAUGAAUACUCUAGCGUACUUACUCUACAACUGCGGGACAUACGAGGUUUUAACAUAGUAAGAAGGGUGUGUUACCAAUCUUAGGGUCAACAACUUAGUGUUAUCUGUUCUGGUAUAAAGGGUAAAAGAUAUCAGGUUGAUUAUUAUGUAUAACUCGGACCACUACCAAUAACUAUAUAACACUAUCAUCAAAGGACGUAAUUAAUCAAUUACUCGGUGGGAAAGCAAAAGUUGAGUUUCACGACGUCGUCAAUUUAUCUACACAAGCACGGUAAAUCGGGGUUUUAAAUCAAGUCAAGCCGACAUGUAGAUAACGGCUGGGGAAAAGAAUCAUGACUAACUGGAAAUACACAAUUAUAAAAAUAACUGAAGUAAAAAAGGAAAUCAGGAAGGAGAACCACAUAUAAGGACUAACACACUCAAGGAAAGGACCAUACCAUAAAUACUAAGUCUGGUAAGGUAUUGUUUUACGUAUAUACCGGAGUACGUACAAAUAACGAACGGACACAUAGUAACACAAGAAUAGCCAACAAAAGACACGCAAAGCAUCCUACACGCUAGAGAAGACGGCGAUGCAGAGGUAAGCUGAGUGGUUCCAAACAACAAGAGGAAAAAUGUACACACACAUAAAAUGAAAGUGAUAGACGAUAUAGUACUAUAGACGGAAGUACUAGCAAAUUUAUAAUAAUACCACAGACGGUACGACUAGCAAGUUUAUAAAACCUAUGCCGUCCCGUAAUACACCACAAGAAGAGAACGAUGAAUGUCAAGCACAUACGCACACUCGUCCUAGAUACGUGAACAAAGGCAACAAUAUGAACAAAACCUCUGACUCCAUCGAGCCACACGAAACGGCAGCGAAAGCACAUACACACUCCAACAUCUGUUGCCAAGACAAGAACGACCACAUCUUGAGCUCGAGGGUCCCCUGCCAAGAUGAGGUCACGGUAUUUCUCUAAAAAAGACUCGAGCCGAAACACACCAAAAUACUUACCGAUACUCAUCCGACGAGAUGUCCAGAACGCAUAAAACGUUCCAAAUAUACCUGAAAAGCAAGUACUGUUAUUGAUACUUACAUACUACCGGAUAUCCUCUAGAAAGACAGGUUCUUGUAACGCUAAAGAAACUAAGGAUGAUACGAUAAAUGAGUCAGACGUCCGGUCGUAUAAUAAAUCUAAGAAAGAUUGAUGGAAUGAAGCUUCGAGUCAUGACCAGAGGAAGUUCGAUGUUGGGGUUCCGCUCGAGACCACCAGUUCGACUACGAAGAAGCGGAGGACAACUUCUUUUCCUACUAUUCCUACAGGCCCGAACUCACUGGUCCUUGUUCACCACGACGAAAAAUACGACAGGUAGAUAUAUACGUAGGGAAGUCAAACAUGUCUGUUUUGUUUAUAAGUAAAGACUGAUCUUGUUUUGAACGUCAAUUCUUUGAGACGACGACCUUUCCCUCGACCCCAUGAUUUGUCUUAUAUCUAACUCGGACGGUCAAGAAAAAUUAGGUUACCGGACAUAAAAAACGUCGUUAGCAGAAAAUACAGACCAAGGGUUUCAAUAAUCAAUCGGACGGAUAAAGAGCGGCAAACUAUUGGAUAUAAUAUUGAUAUCUCUUAUAUCAAACUCGGACGGUCAAGAAGACGGAACCUAUACUUUAUUACUCCGUCAAAAUUAUAAACAGCAUCUAAGUGGACUCAAAUAAAAUUUGAUGUCCUACGUAGUGACUACCUCUUUAUGGAAUGUCUUACUACGACUCGGGGUAGACCUAACCUUGGAAAAACCUCGACGAAUACGAACCACGCCUCGCCCUUCGGAUACUAUCGUUGUCAUAACCUGAGGUAUCUUGACCUUGAGAUAUGGAAAGAAUACAUCGAGAAGGAAAACAACAGAAGGGAUCUUCCCCUACUACAUCAAAAAGACUUAAUGUACAGAGGCGAAACAAGAUGCCGUCUACGAAGAUGAGAUCUUACCAUCGUUGUUAUGACCUGAGGUGACUCUUGAUCUUGUGAUAUGGAAAGAACACAUCGAGAAGGAAAGCAUCAGAGACGACCUUCCACGUCUACAUCAAAAGGUAAACAAGAUACUGUCUACGAAGAUGUGACCUUACCUGGAAAAACCUCUAAGUUGUACAAAGACUGAACAUGUUAUAGAACUACCAUCAUGAACUAAAUAACAAAAUCGUUCGCAUUACCGACUACGAAUUUUACUUG